UGCUACAUUCAGAAGUGAUCAUGUGCUACCUGUGCCCUGGUCAUUGAUAGCACAGGGAGAGAAUUGCUGAAAGGCAUUUUCCCCAUGUUUGAAGGGUCCAGCUCUCCCUUCCAAAUCCUGGAGCUUUCACACA
ensembl:snoRNA SNORA71 Small nucleolar RNA SNORA71